rnacentral:misc_RNA from 1 species
UAACCCAACAUCGCGCCACACUGUGGCCGCGGACGAGUGAGGGUUGGCCGCGCAAGCAGCCGUCCCUUGAAAUGCACAGCUUGAGCCCGCGUUUGUCGGGCUGCGUGUUGCAACUCCACACUUGUGGGGCCAGCGCGUGGCAAUCCCCGACCUCGCAUCGCCAAGCACGCGACAACGACGCGCACGAGCAGCCGUCCACACGGCUGGCUCGCGCACCAA